rnacentral:rRNA from 1 species
ACUACGGGUGGCAGCAGUGAGGAAUAUUGGUCAAUGGGAGAGAUCCUGAACCAGCCAAGCCGCGUGAGGGAAGACGGCCCUAUGGGUUGUAAACCUCUUUUGUCGGAGAACAAAACCCGGGACGUGUCCCGGACUGCGUGUAUCCGAAGAAAAAGCAUCGGCUAACUCCGUGCCAGCAGCCGCGGUAAUACGGAGGAUGCGAGCGUUAUCCGGAUUUAUUGGGUUUAAAGGGUGCGUAGGCGGUCCGUUACGUCAGCGGUAAAAGUGCGGGGCUCAACCCCGUCGAGCCGUUGAAACUGGCAGACUUGAGUUGGCGAGAAGUACGCGGAAUGCGCGGUGUAGCGGUGAAAUGCAUAGAUAUCGCGCAGAACUCCGAUUGCGAAGGCAGCGUACCGGCGCCAGACUGACGCUGAGGCACGAAAGCGUGGGGAUCGAACAGGAUUAGAUACCCUUGUAGUC